GCCGAGAGCCGGCCCUGAGGGCUCUCGGCCCGGCCAUGGCAGCGGGGGGCCCUGUGAAAAACAAUAUCGGACCAUGUAAUUAAAGACUCUCAUAAUGAGUGGCAGGGAUGCUCAACAGAGGAAGAAAAGUUCUGUCCGUGCUCUCCAGACACUUCAUUGCCUCCCCGAGGUCCUGACGGGACAAGUGAAGGUGCUCGAUGUUCCUAUGGCCAACAGGAAGAAACCAGUUUGUUUCUUUCCCUCUCUCAUGUAUUCACUCGUGAUGGAAGAUGACCUUUUAAUUUUUUCCCCUCCGUAAGAGUUUGUUCCAUCUCUUUGUUAAUUAAAUGAAAAUGCUACGUAAAUAAAGAGGCUUUGCUUUGCAAAGUA